AGCCGCACAGGAAGUACCACGUCCAGCUGCUCUUUGCUGAAGUUCUCAUAGCAGACAUUGUUUCCUUUGGCUGAUGGUGGAUGGAUUACGCCUGUGCACUUCCACCCCACGAUGCCACCCCGUUACCGCCACUGGGCUUCCUGCUCCUCAGACGCCCCGGGCCCUUACUCUGUUCAAGGCAUUGUGCAGAUGCCUGGUAUCGGCCUUUGCGUCCUCCAAACUUGAGGGCAUGCCAAGCCCUGCCAGCAUCUGUGCUGAAAUCCGUCUGUUGUGCAUCGUAUCUGUGAGCGGGCAACUCCCUGCCUUCCUCCUGCUGGGGCCAGAACACAGAGCCCUCCCAGCUCUCCAGAACAGCCCUCGCUGCCUGCCUCUUCCACCGCCCAGCUCCUUCUAUUUGGCGUAGAGGUGGGUCUCCAGCUGGUGCUGACAAAACCGGUUUCCAGAGGUCCUCUGGAUGGUAGAACACCUCCCACCAGGCGGGCAUGCAACGGGCCUUGGUGUCUGUUGUUUGUCCUUGGCUCAAACGCAAAAAGCAAAGGUCUCCUUCGGAACCCUGUGUGUGUUUCACAGAUGUGCCUUUCAUGCCGUCAUGUGUAAAGAAGGCAGAAUGAUGCCAACCCGACACAAUGAUUUUACAACUUAAAGGGAUCGUCCAUGGGGAAAACCUCAUCCAAAUUGCCAAGUGGUCCAGCAGCUGCACUGUGACGCCUGUUUGCCAGACAACCUCACAGGAAGCGCAGCGACUUUGCCCUUGUCAGCCACACUACGCCAGGCCUCCAGGGACGCCCGAGUUUCCAGCAGGCCUAGAGCACUGGUUAUAACUUAACCUUCCCUCCUACUGAGGAGUGCUUGUGAGCCAGACUCCCGGCGCUGUGGGGACAGCCUUGGCUGGGCGCUGUUGUUUGGGAAUUAGUUACCAUGUUACAAUUCCGCUCUCUAGCUGUUGUGGUAAGAGGUUCCC